GAUUAAGCCAUGCAUGUGUAAGUAUAAAUAAUUCUACUUUGAAACUGCGAAUGGCUCAUUAUAUCAGUUAUAGUUUAUUAGAAAAAAUGUACUACUUGGAUAACCGUAGUAAUUCUAGGGCUAAUACAUGAGUAAAUCCUCGACUUUGAAGAGGUGUGUUUAUUAGUAUGAAAACCAUAUGCUUGUGCAUAAUAGUGAGUAAUAAUAACCUUUCAUAUCGUAUGUUGAAAUAACGAUAGUUCUUUCAAGUUUCUGCCCUAUCAGCUUUCGAUGGUAGUGCAUUGGACUACCAUG
rnacentral:rRNA from 1 species